UUUUUAUUCACCGGUAAGAUUUUUAUAUAUUGUAGAAAAUUUGAAGCAGAAGUACAAACUACAAAGUUUAUAAUACUACGAACAUAAAAGUAUAUGAACAGCAAAUUAUUAGCAGACAUAACAACCUGUAAAUGGUUGGCAAUUCUGUACAUUUUAUUGUCCUUUUGAUUUGGUACUACUACUGCUAUAGCGAUAUUUGCGUAGGGUUUCAUGGCUGGUUAAUAUGAUUUCAAAGUCCUUGCUGUAGUGUCUGCACACUUGUAUUUAUUUAGUAUUUUAGUAUAUUAAAUUUUCCUUGACAAACUUUGAGUGAUAUCCUUGCCAGGUUCAUGCCAGCAGUUGUUUAUAAUUACUGUGUAGUUAUAUGAAAUCUCACUUACAUGACAUGUAGACAAGUGAACAAAUACUUUGCUAGCUAGGCGGCUAGGCCAAAGACAUCAGGUUCAAACCAUUCAAUACCCAUUGCAAUCAAGCAAUUACCGUAAACAUAUAAGCCCUCCCCCCCAAUAUAAGCCCCCCCUGUGUAUAAUCCCAUCAUAUUUACUCAGGCUAUUCCGAAUAUAAGCCCCUCCCCCCUCUAAUGUAAGCCAGGCCUGUGUGUACAAGCCCAUGGGCUUAUAUUAUUUGACAGGGGCCGGUUGUAUCAAGCCCGUUAAGCUUAAUUUCUCAUGAAUCAGUCAACUUAAAUAUUCUGCAGUGAAUAUGUAGUUGUAAACAUCAUUCUAUUAAGGUUCAAAACUUCUAGUUUGGUUGUUGAAUGAAUCUAUAGAGUCUGAGUUGCUUUCUAUUUUGAGCUUAACCAACGUUUAAGCUAAACAGGCUUGAUACAAUUGGCUCCAGGUAUAUUUAUUAAAUGCAGCUUUAGCCAUACAUAUUAGAAUACAAGCCCAGGGCUAGCUGGCUUACAUUCAGAGGCCGGUUUACAAUAUCUCACCCAACAUAUAGUUUGUCAGAGUUCUAUAAAUCCCACAGUCAUUAGAGGUAAUAUAGGAAUGAAAGGUGCACAAUAUGUGUGCCAGUCACCUUGGCAUUGACCGGCCAACCUUAUGCUCUGACAAUUAACCUAAAUUGAUUGAUGAUAUGUUUGAGAGCAGUUUCAGGUGUGGUGGUGUCCCCAAUAUUGGAGUAGAGCUCAAAUUUCAGUUAGAUAUAUUAUUUGUGAUUGUUGUGAACCUUUUCACUUAGAUCAUUUGUGAUAUAUUGUAAUUAAAUGUAAAAUGAAACUUUGGGGAGUUAAGAAAUACAAUUAAUUGACAAGACUGUCCCCUUGACAAGUAAAAUUGUCAGGCAUUAGACUGCCUGAGUAAAAUAAUAAGCUUGGGUGCAAUUAACUGCUGUAUGCUUUAAAGUUGGUUGCAUGCUUUAAAGUUGGUUGCAUGCUUUAAAGUUGGUUGCAAGCUAGCUGGGCUUAUAAAUGCCAGAACUCAUGUGAAAAAUGCUUGGAUCAAUUUAUUUCAUCCGUAAUGAACCCAUUUUUAAUCCUUUAAUUAAGUGGCAAUGCGCCCCACCACAAUAUUUUACUCCGUCCAAUGCCAGACAAUUUUACUUGUCAAGUUGAGAGUGCUGCCCCUCAAUGGGUUCAGUUGCAUUGCACCCUAAUGUAUAUGUUCGUGUUACUUUGUCUAACGCCAACAAUUUUACUUGUCAACAAGAGAGCACAGUGGUACGUGCUGAAUGGGUUAACAUAUAAAUAAUGUCUACUCUACAGUAAAUUUCCCUGUAAUUGGACUUUGGAGCCUGGUAUAUGUGACUCACUAUUUCUUCAAAGUGUGUUCUAAUGAUACUAGCUGUCACUAUUUUAUAAAUAUAAUUGACAUUUCUCAUUUAGGGUGAUCCAGGAUGUAGGUCAUGUGGACAAGUUCUUUGGAAUGUUCAAAUAACAAGAAUAGUGGUGUUAUAGUAGUGGUGGCACUUGCCAGACCUGAAUUGAGUUUUGAAUUGAGUUUUGAAACUCAAUCUUCUCACCAAAGUUUCAGUGCAGUAAAAAUGAAGUUGUUUGAGUUAAAUUUGUGACGUGUGGAAAUUAGUUUUCAGUUGGAAACCCGACAAUUAAGAAAAAAUGGCUGGAAUUCAUCUCACAACACAAGAAAAACUAUGCAUUCGCCAUUUUAACCAGUUUAUAGUGUCCCUCAAUGCCCCUGCUUUAACACAUUCCGUCUCAACUACAUUUGUUGAGUACAAGUGUCAGCCCCCCGGUAGGGGGGGGGGGGGUUGCAACCACCACAGCUGUUCAGCUAAACUCAAUCUUCUCUGCAAAAACGGAUCCAAGAGAAAAUCCUGAAAAAAAACCUGUUAUAUGUACUACAAGAAAUGGCCCAAGGCAUCAAAACAGGGGACAGCCAAAGAAUCACCCAUGGAGCUACAGUUAUAAUAAUACUCUAUCACAUAUUGUAACUUGAUUGUACAGUUAUAAUUAUUAAUUUGAUAAUUAUUCUUUGACCAAGUUUAAUUAAAAUAAUACAAAAUUAAUCAUGAUUUUGAAUCCUUAACAGUUAAACAACAGUGGCAUGGACUCAUGCAUUGUUGGAAAAUUCUGCAUCUCUAUUGUUUUGACACUAUUUUCAUGACCAAUUUUGUUGUUUUGACUUCAUUUUGACCAAGUCAGUCAGGUUAGUAACUAUCUUGUCUAACAUUUAGAGAUCUUGUCUUGUUCAAGUGAGAUCUCAAACUGAGCCA
rnacentral:lncRNA from 1 species